rnacentral:rRNA from 1 species
GUAGGUGGCAAGCGUUGUCCGGAAUUAUUGGGCGUAAAGCGCGCGCAGGCGGUUCGUUUAAGUCUGGUGUGAAAGCCCACGGCUCAACCGUGGAGGGUCAUUGGAAACUGGAGAACUUGAGUACAGAAGAGGAAAGCGGAAUUCCACGUGUAGCGGUGAAAUGCGUAGAGAUGUGGAGGAACACCAGUGGCGAAGGCGGCUUUCUGGUCUGUAACUGACGCUGAGGCGCGAAAGCGUGGGGAGCAAACAGGAUUAGAUACCCUGGUAGUCCACGCCGUAAACGAUGAGUGCUAAGUGUUACGGGGGUUUCCGCCCCUUAGUGCUGCAGCUAACGCAUUAAUCACUCCGCCUGGGGAGUACGGCCGCAAAGGCUG